CGAGGUAAGGAGCUGAUCAGGGCAUUCAUCUGUCGGAUUAGUCUAACUCGGUCAAUGCAUGGAUUAAUGUUCUCAGUAUGAGUUCUUUCUUUCUUCAUUGGGUGAGUUGGGAUUAGAAGAAAGUCUCCGUAGGUCCGCUACUCCCCCCUUCGUUCAAUCUUAACUAUGCCAUGCCAAGGGUCAUCGAAGAACCAACCUUUCUGCCUUUCCCCCACAUCUCGAAGGGUGGCCAUUAAGUUUUUUGAACAACGUUCCAGGUUCAGACAAAUCCUCUCGAUGAGCGGACGAUAACUCCUCUGAUAGAGCUCGAAUGAACCAUCCCCUCAUGCGGAUCUCACUGGAAGGUUUAAGAACAUCCUGUUAAUGAGUUCAUCCCAACUGUAUGGGACUGAAAAGCCCAUGUUAUUCUGCUGGGGAGCUUGACGAACAUACUGAGAGGCUCGGUGCCCUUUUAUUGAUGAGUUUAUCCCAACGCGCUGGACUGGAGUCCAGAUUUUUUUUUGAGGGUGCGACAGCUUUUGCUGACACGCCUACCCGACCGUAGGGUUUCAAUAUUUAUCAUCUGUGCUUUCUUGUUUUUCUUUGCUGUGAUUGAUUCUCAAAACUGCUUCUAAGGCG
rnacentral:misc_RNA from 1 species